rnacentral:rRNA from 1 species
AUUGAACGCUGGCGGCAGGCCUAACACAUGCAAGUCGAACGGUAACAGGAAGAAGCUUGCUUCUUUGCUGACGAGUGGCGGACGGGUGAGUAAUGUCUGGGAAACUGCCUGAUGGAGGGGGAUAACUACUGGAAACGGUAGCUAAUACCGCAUAACGUCGCAAGACCAAAGAGGGGGACCUUCGGGCCUCUUGCCAUCGGAUGUGCCCAGAUGGGAUUAGCUAGUAGGUGGGGUAACGGCUCACCUAGGCGACGAUCCCUAGCUGGUCUGAGAGGAUGACCAGCCACACUGGAACUGAGGCACGGUCCAGACUCCUACGGGAGGCAGCAGUGGGGAAUAUUGCACAAUGGGCGCAAGCCUGAUGCAGCCAUGCCGCGUGUAUGAAGAAGGCCUUCGGGUUGUAAAGUACUUUCAGCGGGGAGGAAGGGAGUAAAGUUAAUACCCUUGCUCAUUGACGUUACCCGCAGAAGAAGCACCGGCUAACUCCGUG